rnacentral:rRNA from 1 species
AAACGCCUCAGUUCGGAUUGUAGUCUGCAACUCGACUACAUGAAGCUGGAAUCGCUAGUAAUCGCAGAUCAGAAUGCUGCGGUGAAUACGUUCCCGGGUCUUGUACACACCGCCCGUCACACCAUGGGAGUCGGAAAUGCCCGAAGCCGGUGACCCAACCAAAAGGAGGGAGCCGUCGAAGGCAGGUCUGAUAACUGGGGUGAAGUCGUAACAAGGUAAC